AUUGAACGCUGGCGGAAUGCUUUACACAUGCGAGUCGAACGGUAACAGGCCGCAAGGUGCUGACGAGUGGCGAACGGGUGAGUAAUGCAUCGGAACGUGCCCAGUCGUGGGGGAUAACGCAGCGAAAGCUGCGCUAAUACCGCAUACGAUCUAUGGAUGAAAGCGGGGGACCGUAAGGCCUCGCGCGAUUGGAGCGGCCGAUGUCAGAUUAGGUAGUUGGUGGGGUAAAGGCUCACCAAGCCAACGAUCUGUAGCUGGUCUGAGAGGACGACCAGCCACACUGGGACUGAGACACGGCCCAGACUCCUACGGGAGGCAGCAGUGGGGAAUUUUGGACAAUGGGCGCAAGCCUGAUCCAGCAAUGCCGCGUGCAGGAAGAAGGCCUUCGGGUUGUAAACUGCUUUUGUACGGAACGAAACGGUCCUGGUUAAUACCUGGGGCUAAUGACGGUACCGUAAGAAUAAGCACCGGCUAACUACGUGCCAGCAGCCGCCGUAAUAC
rnacentral:rRNA from 1 species